GAUGAACGCUAGCGGCAGGCUUAAUACAUGCAAGUCGUGGGGCAGCAGGACUGUAGCAAUACAGUUGCUGGCGACCGGCAAACGGGUGCGGAACACGUACGCAACUUACCCUGCACUGGGGGAUAGCCCGGGGAAACCCGGAUUAAUACCCCGUAAUAUAAUGGAGUGGCAUCACUUUAUUAUUAAAGCUCCGGCGGUUCGGGCUGGGCGUGCGGCUGAUUAGGUAGUUGGUUGAGGUAACGGCUCACCAAGCCUACGAUCAGUAACUGGUGUGAGAGCACGACCAGUCAGACGGGGACUGAGACAAGGGCGCGACUCCUACGGGAGGCAGCAGUAAGGAAGAUAGGGGAAUGGAGGAAACUCUGACCCAGCCAUGCCGGGUGGAGGAAGAAGGCGCUCGGGAUUGUAAACCUCUUGUAUAGGGGACGAAACCUGUGUAUUCUUACGCAGUUGACGGUACCCUAGGAAUAAGCACCGGCUAACUCCGUG
rnacentral:rRNA from 1 species